rnacentral:rRNA from 1 species
GACGAACCGUGCGAACGUUGUUCGGAAUCACUGGGCUUAAAGGGCGCGUAGGCGGACGUUCAAGUCAGGGGUGAAAUCCUUCGGCUCAACCGAAGAAGGGCUUCUGAUACUGAACGUCUCGAGGGAGGUAGGGGCAUGUGGAACUUCCGGUGGAGCGGUGAAAUGCGUAGAUAUCGGAAGGAACGCCGGUGGCGAAAGCGACGUGCUGGACCUCUUCUGACGCUGAGGCGCGAAAGCCAGGGGAGCAAACGGG